rnacentral:tRNA from 1 species
AAAAUCCGUUGAUUUAAAAAAUCGUGAGG